AUGAAAUUUUCAAUUUUCUUACUAAUGAAGAUUUAUUACAUGAUUUCAGAAAAUAUGUUCUGGAUUAGAAUCACCAUCGUUUGCAUGUGCAUAUCCCUGCUGGAAGCCCAUAAGGAGUGUGCAAGACACAUAAAAUGGGUGCAUCUCAUUCAGUCAUUAAAUUCAAUGGGCACUGCGAUAUCUCACGACUGUGCAUUUGAUUAUGAAGAAGCCAGUUUGUGUGAUCCACGUCACCUGGCCAAUAUGGUGGAUCAUAAUGCAAUUCUUCUGGUCGACAUUGUCAAGAAAACAGAAACAAUGUACAGGGAGAAUCCAAACCCACAGACGUUUAUUGAGGCCCUUCAUCACACCCGUCACACCCUGAGCAACUGUAUUCAUAACUCUGACAAUGCUGAAAAUGAGCCUGUGACCACAUGCUUCAACAAAUUAGAAGCUUUUCUUAAGAAAAAGUCCCACUCGCAAUGUGCAUGGGAAAUUAUUAAUUCAAAAGUGAGGGAGGUUCUUCAGAGGCUGGAGAAACGCUCUGUCAGAGAUCGGCGUUAG
ensembl:lncRNA